UACGUAGGGUGCAAGCGUUGUCCGGAAUUAUUGGGCGUAAAGAGCUCGUAGGCGGUUUGUCGCGUCUGCUGUGAAAACCCGAGGCUCAACCUCGGGCCUGCAGUGGGUACGGGCAGACUAGAGUGCGGUAGGGGAGAUUGGAAUUCCUGGUGUAGCGGUGGAAUGCGCAGAUAUCAGGAGGAACACCAAUGGCGAAGGCGACUCUUUGGCCUGUAACUGACGCUGAGGCGCGAAAGCGUGGGGAGCAAACAGG
rnacentral:rRNA from 1 species